GCACCCGCUGCGACCUUUGGCUUUGUUGCUGCCUCUGGCAGCAGGAGGCAGGCGCUAGGAAGCUCCAUCCAAAUGCGUUACAAAGCUUGCAAAUAAAUUAGAAUUUGCUACUGCCAGCGGCAAGCAAAUUAGAAACCGCUUGAAUUACACGGAGAGAGGCUGAAUAUUUUUGUGUAUAACUGCCAACACGCACACACUUACACUUACACACCCAUAAAUACAUAACAACACGCACACACACAGCCCCCCAAAAAUGAAUCCGAAUGCCGGCAGCAAAAUAUGCGUGCACAAGUAAACAUUCGUAUGGGGGUGGAUGUAGGGGGGCGUGCGUGGAAUAACCCGGACAGCAGAACAACUGAAACCCCUCCAUAAGAGUAAAGUCGAAACGCCGGAACCGCUAGUUGAGUUUGCUGAUGGCAAACGAAAUUUAAGAGAUCCCAGAGUAUCCAG
rnacentral:lncRNA from 1 species